UUUGCCUACGGGGGGCAGCAGUGGGGAAUAUUGCACAAUGGGGGAAACCCUGAUGCAGCGACGCCGCGUGAGCGAAGAAGUAUUUCGGUAUGUAAAGCUCUAUCAGCAGGGAAGAAAAAUGACGGUACCUGAGUAAGAAGCACCGGCUAAAUACGUGCCAGCAGCCGCGGUAAUACGUAUGGUGCAAGCGUUAUCCGGAUUUACUGGGUGUAAAGGGAGCGCAGGCGGUGCGGCAAGUCUGAAGUGAAAGCCCGUGGCUCAACCGCGGAACUGCUUUGGAAACUGUAUAGCUUGAGUACUG
rnacentral:rRNA from 1 species